UACGUAGGGGUCUAGCGUUGUCCGGAAUUAUUGGGCGUAAAGAGCUCGUAGGCGGUUCGAUAAGUCGGACGUGAAAUCUCCACGCUCAACGUGGAGGGGCCGUUCGAUACUGUCGUGACUCGAGUCCGGUAGGGGAGUGUGGAAUUCCUGGUGUAGCGGUGAAAUGCGCAGAUAUCAGGAGGAACACCGGUGGCGAAGGCGGUUCUCUGGGCAUGAUCUGACGCUGAGGAGCGAAAGUGUGGGGAGCGAACAGG
rnacentral:rRNA from 1 species